GACGAACGCUGGCGGCGUGCUUAACACAUGCAAGUCGAACGGAGUGGCGAACGUGUGAGUAUUACGUGAGUAACCUGCCCUCAACUGUGGGAUCAGCCUGGGAAACUGGGUCUACUACUGCAUAGUUGGGGAUGGGCUCGCGGCCUAUCAGCUUGUUGGUGGGGUGAUGGCCUACCAAGGCGGUGACGGUUCGCCGGCCUGAGAGGGUGGUGGGCGACAUGGGGACUGGGAUACGGCCCAGAAUCCUACGGGAGGCAGUAGUGGGGGAUAUUGCACAAUGGGCGAGAGCCUGAUGCAGCGAUGCCGCGGGAGGGAUGAAGGCUUGCGGGUUGUAAACCUCUUUCGGUACAGAACGGGUAUGUGCAGAAGAAGCGCCGGCUAACUACGUGCCAGCAGCCGCGGUAAUAC
rnacentral:rRNA from 1 species